rnacentral:rRNA from 1 species
GACGAGCCACACAAACGUUAUUCGGAUUUACUGGGCUUAAAGGGUGCGUAGGCGGCGCGGAAAGUUGGGUGUGAAAUCCCUCGGCUUAACCGAGGAAUAGCGCCCAAAACUACCGUGCUCGAGGGAGAUAGAGGUGAGCGGAACUUAGGGUGGAGCGGUGAAAUGCGUUGAUAUCCUAAGGAACACCGGUGGCGAAAGCGGCUCACUGGAUCUCUUCUGACGCUGAUGCACGAAAGCUAGGGUAGCGAACGGG